rnacentral:rRNA from 1 species
AGCGUUGUGAGGCGUUGAGCUAACUGAUACUAAUUGCCCGUGAGGCUUAACCAUACAACACCCAAGGGGUUU